rnacentral:rRNA from 1 species
UUUAAAUAGCUGCAGUAUAUUAACUGUACAAAGGUAGCAUAAUAAUUAGUCUUUUAAUUGGGGUCUGGAAUGAAGGGUUUGACAAGAAAAUAACUUUAUUAAUUUAAUUUUUUUAAAAUUUAAAUUUUAGUUAAAAAGCUAAAAUUUUUAAGUGGGACGAUAAGACCCUAUAGAUCUUUAAAUUUUUGAUUUAUAAAAAUGUUUAAGAGAGGCUAAAUUUUAUUUAAAAAAAUUUUUUGUUGGGGUGACGUUUAAAUUUUUAAAACUUUAAAAUUUAUUGCCAUUUAUAAAUGAGAUUUAUAGAACUUGAAUUUUAGUUUAUUAAAAUAAGAUACCUUAGGGAUAACAGCGUUAUAAAUUUGUAAAGUUCUUAUAGAUAAAUUUGUUUGCGACCUCGAUGUUGAAUUAAUUUAAAUUUUUGGAGUAGAAGUUAAAUUUUUAGGUCUGUUCGACCUUUAAAAGAUUACA